rnacentral:rRNA from 1 species
AACGAACGCUGGCGGCAUGCCUAACACAUGCAAGUCGAACGAGACCUUCGGGUCUAGUGGCGCACGGGUGCGUAACGCGUGGGAACCUGCCCUUAGGUUCGGAAUAACUCCCCGAAAGGGGUGCUAAUACCGGAUAAUGUCUUCGGACCAAAGAUUUAUCGCCUUUGGAUGGGCCCGCGUUGGAUUAGCUAGUUGGUAGGGUAAAAGCCUACCAAGGCGACGAUCCAUAGCUGGUCUGAGAGGAUGAUCAGCCACACUGGGACUGAGACACGGCCCAGACUCCUACGGGAGGCAGCAGUGGGGAAUAUUGGACAAUGGGCGAAAGCCUGAUCCAGCAAUGCCGCGUGAGUGAUGAAGGCCUUAGGGUUGUAAAGCUCUUUUACCCGGGAUGAUAAUGACAGAACCGGGAGAAUAAACUCCGGCUAACUCCGU